rnacentral:rRNA from 1 species
AACCUCCGCAAUGUGAGAAAUCGCGACGGGGGGAUCCCAAGUGCCAUUCUUAACGGGAUGGCUUUUCAUUAGUGUAAAAAGCUUUUGGAAUAAGAGCUGGGCAAGACCGGUGCCAGCCGCCGCGGUAACACCGGCAGCUCUAGUGGUAGCUGUUUUUAUUGGGCCUAAAGCGUUCGUAGCCGGUUUGAUAAGUCACUGGUGAAAUCCUGUAGCUUAACUGUGGGAAUUGCUGGUGAUACUGUUGAACUUGAGGUCGGGAGAGGUUAGCGGUACUCCCAGGGUAGAGGUGAAAUUCUGUAAUCCUGGGAGGACCACCUGUGGCGAAGGCGGCUAACUGGAACGAACCUGACGGUGAGGGACGAAAGCUAGGGGCGCGAACCGGAUUAGAUACCCGGGUAGUCCUAACUGUAAACGAUGCGGACUUGGUGUUGGGGUGGCUUUGAGCUGCUUCAGUGCCGAAGGGAAGCUGUUAAGUCCGCCGCCUGGGAAGUACGGUCGCAAGACUGAAACUUAAAGGAAUA